rnacentral:rRNA from 1 species
CGAUGAUACGCGAGGAACCUUACCUGGGCUCGAACGUAAGAUGACUGUAGGUGAAAGCUUACAUCUCUUCGGAGCAUUUUACGUAGGUGCUGCAUGGUUGUCGUCAGCUCGUGCCGUGAGGUGUCGGGUUAAGUCCCAUAACGAGCGCAACCCCUACCUUUAGUUGCCAUCAGGUUAAGCUGGGGACUCUAAAGGAACUGCCUACGCAAGUAGUGAGGAAGCGGGGAUGACGUCAAAUCAGCACGGCCCUUACGUCCAGGGCUACACACGUGCUACAAUGGCCGAUACAGAGGGCAGCUACCUGGUGACAGGAUGCAAAAUCUCCAAAGUCGGUCUCAGUUCGGAUCGGAGUCUGCAACCCGACUCCGUGAAGUUGGAUUCGCUAGUAAUCGCGCAUCAGCCAUGGCGCGGUGAAUACGUUCCCGGGCCUU